rnacentral:rRNA from 1 species
ACGAACGCUGGCGGCGUGCCUAAUACAUGCAAGUCGAGCGGAAUGAUGAAGAAGCUUGCUUCUUCUGAUUUUAGCGGCGGACGGGUGAGUAACACGUGGGCAACCUACCUUUAAGACUGGGAUAACUUCGGGAAACCGGAGCUAAUACCGGAUAACAUGUAAGGCCACAUGGUUUUGCAUUAAAAGAUGGCUUCGGCUAUCACUUAUAGAUGGGCCCGCGGCGCAUUAGCUAGUUGGUGAGGUAAUGGCUCACCAAGGCGACGAUGCGUAGCCGACCUGAGAGGGUGAUCGGCCACACUGGGACUGAGACACGGCCCAGACUCCUACGGGAGGCAGCAGUAGGGAAUCUUCCGCAAUGGACGAAAGUCUGACGGAGCAACGCCGCGUGAACGAUGAAGGCUUUCGGGUCGUAAAGUUCUGUUGUUAGGGAAGAACAAGUACCAGAGUAACUGCUGGUACCUUGACGGUACCUAACCAGAAAGCCACGGCUAACUACGUG